UACGGAGGGUGCAAGCGUUAAUCGGAAUUACUGGGCGUAAAGCGCACGCAGGUGGCUGAGUCAGUCGAUUGUGAAAGCCCUGGGCUUAACCUGGGAAUUGCAGUCGAUACUACUCAGCUAGAGUAUGGGAGAGGGUAGUGGAAUUCCCGGUGUAGCGGUGAAAUGCGUAGAUAUCGGGGAGGAACAUCAGUGGCGAAGGCGGCUACCUGGCCCAAUACUGACACUCAGGUGCGACAGCGUGGGGAGCAAACAGGG
rnacentral:rRNA from 1 species